rnacentral:rRNA from 1 species
UACGGGGGGGGCAAGCGUUGUUCGGAAUUACUGGGCGUAAAGGGCUCGUAGGCGGCCAACUAAGUCAGACGUGAAAUCCCUCGGCUUAACCGGGGAACUGCGUCUGAUACUGGAUGGCUUGAGAUUGGGAGAGGGAUGCGGAAUUCCAGGUGUAGCGGUGAAAUGCGUAGAUAUCUGGAGGAACACCGGUGGCGAAGGCGGCAUCCUGAACCAACACUGACGCUGAGGAGCGAAAGCCAGGGGAGCAAACAGG